rnacentral:rRNA from 1 species
UGGGGGAAUAUUGCGCAAUGGGGGGAACCCUGACGCAGCCAUGCCGCGUGAAUGAAGAAGGCCUUCGGGUUGUAAAGUUCUUUCGGUAUUGAGGAAGGUUGAUGUGUUAAUAGCACAUCAAAUUGACGUUAAAUACAGAAGAAGCCCCGGCUAACUCCGUGCCAGCAGCCGCGGUAAUACGGAGGGUGCGAGCGUUAAUCGGAAUAACUGGGCGUAAAGGGCACGCAGGCGGUUAUUUAAGUGAGGUGUGAAAGCCCCGGGCUUAAUCUGGGAAUUGCAUUUCAGACUGGGUAACUAGAGUACUUUAGGGAGGGGUAGAAUUCCACGUGUAGCGGUGAAAUGCGUAGAGAUGUGGAGGAAUACCGAAGGCGAAGGCAGCCCCUUGGGAAUGUACUGACGCUCAUGUGCGAAAGCGUGGGGAGCAAACAGGAUUAGAUACCCUGGUAGUCCACGCUGUAAACGCUGUCGAUUUGGGGGUUGGGGUUUAACUCUGGCGCCCGUAGCUAACGUGAUAAAUCGACCGCCUGGGGAGCCCGNAAACAAGGUUA